rnacentral:rRNA from 1 species
CAGGCCUUAACAUCUGGCUGAAUAAAGGGUAAUGCCUUUAGGCCUUCGGGACAGUCAAGACAGGUGGUGCAUGGUUGUCGUCAGCUCGUGUCGUGAGAUGUUGGGUUAAGUCCCGCAACGAGCGCAACCCCUAUCCUUAGUAGCCAGCGAGCAAGACGGGCACUCUAGGGAGACUGCCGGGGAUAACCCGGAGGAAGGUGGGGAUGACGUCAAAUCAUCAUGCCCCUUAUGGCCUGGGCUACACACGUGCUACAAUGGCGUAAACAAAGGGAAGCAGGAGGGCGACCUUGAGCAAAUCCCAAAAAUAACGUCCCAGUUCGGAUUGUAGUCUGCAACCCGGCUACAUGAAGCUGGAAUCGCUAGUAAUCGCGGAUCAGAAUGCCGCGGUGAAUACGUUCCC